UACGAAGGGGGCUAGCGUUGCUCGGAAUUACUGGGCGUAAAGCGCACGUAGGCGGUCUUUUAAGUCGGGGGUGAAAUCCUGGAGCUCAACUCCAGAACUGCCUUCGAUACUGGAAGACUUGAGUCCGGGAGAGGUGAGUGGAACUGCGAGUGUAGAGGUGAAAUUCGUAGAUAUUCGCAAGAACACCAGUGGCGAAGGCGGCUCACUGGCCCGGUACUGACGCUGAGGAGCGAAAGCGUGGGGAGCGAACAGG
rnacentral:rRNA from 1 species